CUGGAGGUAUCAGAAGUGCGAAUGCUGACAUAAGUAACGAUAAAGCGGGUGAAAAGCCCGCUCGCCGGAAGACCAAGGGUUCCUGUCCAACGUUAAUCGGGGCAGGGUGAGUCGACCCCUAAGGCGAGGCCGAAAGGCGUAGUCGAUGGGAAACAGGUUAAUAUUCCUGUACUUGGUGUUACUGCGAAGGGGGGACGGAGAAGGCUAUGUUGGCCGGGCGACGGUUGUCCCGGUUUAAGCGUGUAGGCUGGUUUUCCAGGCAAAUCCGGAAAAUCAAGGCUGAGGCGUGAUGACGAGGCACUACGGUGCUGAAGCAACAAAUGCCCUGCUUCCAGGAAAAGCCUCUAAGCAUCAGGUAACAUCAAAUCGUACCCCAAACCGACACAGGUGGUCAGGUAGAGAAUACCAAGGCGCUUGAGAGAACUCGGGUGAAGGAACUAGGCAAAAUGGUGCCGUAACUUCGGGAGAAGGCACGCUGAUAUGUAGGUGAAGUCCCUCGCGGAUGGAGCUGAAAUCAGUCGAAGAUACCAGCUGGCUGCAACUGUUUAUUAAAAACACAGCACUGUGCAAACACGAAAGUGGACGUAUACGGUGUGACGCCUGCCCGGUGCCGGAAGGUUAAUUGAUGGGGUCAGCGCAAGCGAAGCUCUUGAU
rnacentral:rRNA from 1 species